rnacentral:rRNA from 1 species
UGGGGAAUCUUGCACAAUGGGGGAAACCCUGAUGCAGCGACGCCGCGUGAGCGAUGAAGCCCUUCGGGGUGUAAAGCUCUUUCGACGGGAACGAUAAUGACGGUACCCGGAGAAGAAGCUGCGGCUAACUACGUGCCAGCAGCCGCGGUAAUACGUAGGCAGCAAGCGUUGUUCGGAGUUACUGGGCGUAAAGAGUGUGUAGGCGGUGUCGCAAGUUCGGUGUGAAAUCUCCCGGCUUAACUGGGAGGGUGCGCCGAAAACUGCGGUGCUUGAGUGCGGGAGAGGGAAGCGGAAUUCCUGGUGUAGCGGUGAAAUGCGUAGAUAUCAGGAGGAACACCUGCGGUGUAGACGGCUUCCUGGACCGUUACUGACGCUGAGACACGAAAGCGUGGGGAGCAAACAGGAUUAGAUACCCUGGUAGUCCACGCCCUAAACGAUGCAUACUUGGUGUGAGCCAUUCAGUUGGUUCGUGCCGGAGCUAACGCGUUAAGUAUG